rnacentral:rRNA from 1 species
GAUGAACGCUGGCGGCGUGCCUAAUACAUGCAAGUCGAGCGAACAGAUGAGGAGCUUGCUCCUCUUACGUUAGCGGCGGACGGGUGAGUAACACGUGGAUAACCUACCUAUAAGACUGGGAUAACUUCGGGAAACCGGAGCUAAUACCGGAUAAUAUAUUGAACCGCAUGGUUCAAUAGUGAAAGACGGUUUUGCUGUCACUUAUAGAUGGAUCCGCGCCGCAUUAGCUAGUUGGUAAGGUAACGGCUUACCAAGGCAACGAUGCGUAGCCGACCUGAGAGGGUUAUCGGCCACACUGGAACUGAGACACGGUCCAGACUCCUACGGGAGGCAGCAGUAGGGAAUCUUCCGCAAUGGGCGAAAGCCUGACGGAGCAACGCCGCGUGAGUGAUGAAGGUCUUCGGAUCGUAAAACUCUGUUAUUAGGGAAGAACAAAUGUGUAAGUAACUAUGCACGUCUUGACGGUACCUAAUCAGAAAGCCACGGCUAACUACGUG